CACUUUCAUGAGGUGAGCUUUUGUUUAUUUUUUCACAACACCUGGUCCAAGUAUGAUGAUCAUCAAUCCUGCAUUCUAUAUGGUCUAUUGAAGAUAUGGCAUUUGACUAUAGUAUUCUUGAACACACACAAAAAGCUAUGGAAGAGCCAGGUGGAAGAAAAGUCUUUGCUGUCUAGCAUUUCUAGUUGGAUUAUGAAUCUUCCAUUUGAUACAGAAGUUAAGGAAUGGUUGGCUGCAGAAGAAAGAGACAAGCAAGGCAUACAGAUGAAAAAUAUUCUCCCAACUGUAGUAGACAAGUUUCUCAAAUUGGGUUGUCACAAUUGUAAUACUUUUGAUUUGUUUCGGAUAAACUGUAUAGAAAUAGCACGUUGUAUGGAGUAUAUUGUUAUUGAAUAGAUCAAUUGUAAUGGUACUUGUCCUAUGUUUUGGUCAUGAUGUACAAAAAGGAUAUAUGUAGGUUCAGUAAAUUAACCUUUGUAAUGAAAAUAGCUUGUACACAUCUCAUGAAUGAAAACUAUAUAUCAAGUACUGGAAAAACUUAUAAGUGCAAGAAAUAUAUCAGGUAUUGUCGAACCUUAAAAA